rnacentral:tRNA from 1 species
GCCCCCAUAGUUCAAUGGAUAGAAUGCGAGAUUGCGGAUCUCGUGAUUCAGGUUCGAAUCCUGAUGGGGGCACCA